GACGAACGCUGGCGGCGUGCUUAACACAUGCAAGUCGAACGAGACGAUUGAAAGCUUGCUUUCGAAAGUCGAGUGGCAAACGGGUGAGUAACGCGUAGACAACCUGCCUUUGAGAUGGGGACAACAGUUCGAAAGGACUGCUAAUACCGAAUGUUGUAUAUUUUCCACAUGGAAGAUAUAUUAAAGAUGGCCUCUAUUUAUAAGCUAUCGCUCAAAGAUGGUUCUGCGUCCGAUUAGCUGGUUGGUGGGGUAACGGCCUACCAAGGCGACGAUCAGUAGCCGGUCUGAGAGGAUGAACGGCCACAUUGGGACUGAGACACGGCCCAGACUCCUACGGGAGGCAGCAGUGGGGAAUCUUCCACAAUGGACGAAAGUCUGAUGGAGCAACGCCGCGUGAGUGAAGAAGGGUUUCGGCUCGUAAAGCUCUGUUGUCGGGGACGAAUGUGCAGUAUUUGAAUAAAGUACUGUAAUGACGGUACCUGACGAGGAAGCCACGGCUAACUACGUGCCAGCCGCCGCAGUAA
rnacentral:rRNA from 1 species